rnacentral:lncRNA from 1 species
GCUUUUGAUAAUCACAUCCAAUCUCUAUUAUGUGAUCAAUUUGUAGAUCUAGAAAACAAUAUUAAUUGUUCCUUCAAAAUUUGGAUUGAUUUCUGUCACGGACACAAAAUAGAGACUUGAAAUCUAACAAGAAGUUCAAGAAGAAGUGGCAGAACUAGAUUAAACAGAUGAGUACAAGAACAACACCAGAAAGGUGAGCUAGAACUCCAAGAGAUGUG